rnacentral:rRNA from 1 species
CCCUUAGAUGUUCUGGGCUGCACCCGUGCUACACUGGCAGGUUCAGCGAGCUUCAUGCCCUGAUCUGAAAGGAAUGAGAAAUCUUUUCAAAACCUGCCGUGCUUGGGAUAGAUGUUUGCAAUUAUUCAUCUUCAACGAGGAUUGCCUUGUAAGCGCACGUCAUCAGCGUGCAUUGAAUACGACCCUGUAUUCUGUACACACCGCCCGUCGCUCCUACCGAUUGAAGUUUUCGGUGAGUUGACAGGAGGAUUUUUUUGAAACUGGUUCGCCAGUGGAUUUUAGAUCCAAAUGCCAACGAAUCGAUGGCUUUAGAGGAAGGAGAAGUCGUAACA